rnacentral:rRNA from 1 species
GAUGAACGCUGACAGAAUGCUUAACACAUGCAAGUCCACUUGAAUUUGGGUUUUUACCUUAGGUUUGGGUGGCGGACGGGUGAGUAACGCGUAAAGAACUUGCCUCACAGCUAGGGACAACAUUUGGAAACGAAUGCUAAUACCUAAUAUUAUGAUAAUAGGGCAUCCUAUAAUUAUGAAAGCUAUAAGCGCUGUGAGAGAGCUUUGCGUCCCAUUAGCUAGUUGGAGAGGUAACGGCUCACCAAGGCGAUGAUGGGUAGCCGGCCUGAGAGGGUGAUCGGCCACAAGGGGACUGAGACACGGCCCUUACUCCUACGGGAGGCAGCAGUGGGGAAUAGUGGACAAUGGACCGAGAGUCUGAUCCAGCAAUUCUGUGUGCACGAUGAAGUUUUUCGGAAUGUAAAGUGCUUUCAGUUGGGAAGAAACAAAUGACGGUACCAACAGAAGAAGUGACGGCUAAAUACGU